rnacentral:rRNA from 1 species
UACGUAGGGUGCGAGCGUUGUCCGGAAUUAUUGGGCGUAAAGAGCUUGUAGGCGGUUUGUCGCGUCUGCUGUGAAAAUCUGGGGCUCAACCCCGGACUUGCAGUGGGUACGGGCAGACUAGAGUGUGGUAGGGGAGACUGGAAUUCCUGGUGUAGCGGUGAAAUGCGCAGAUAUCAGGAGGAACACCGAUGGUGAAGGCAGGUCUCUGGGCCACUACUGACGCUGAGAAGCGAAAGCAUGGGGAGCGAACAGGAUUAGA